rnacentral:lncRNA from 1 species
GCUCGCUCGGCCGCCCAGCUCCCACCUGCGCCUCUCCGCGGCCCCUCUCCACCGGCCGCUGGGCCCGGAUCCCUUCGGCGCCCCUCUGCACCCACCCCCACGCGCCCUCCACUCGGCUCAGAUCUACCUCCGCGCCUCUCCGCGACCCCGGAACCCCGCGCCCUGUCCGGCCCAUUCCCAGCCGGAUAGACCGCGCUCCCCUCUGUCCGACCUUGGCAACUCCUGCGCGCCCCCUCCCCACCUCUAGUCGCCCCUCGGAGCCGCUUGGUUUCGGGAUCCACCCGCAUCCACCCCUCCAACAACCCUUUCGUAGCCCUCGCCCCUAGUCCAUAGCAGGCGCUGCCCUACCCAGUCCUUGCCGGACACACCGCGACCCCUUUCGUGCUCCCUUGACAACCCUGGCCCCACCUCCACCUGGCGCCCACUCGAAUCCGCCCCUCCCUUCUACCCCCCUGGACCGCCAGACCCCCCGCUUCUGCACCCACUCCCGCCUUCGCCCUUCCCUCCUUCCUCCUCCUCCUCUGCUGCCGAGCGCCCUCUCUUCCCACUCCCUCUCUGUGUAGAAUCACAGGGAGUGACCUUGAGCCGAGAGGGCCUACCUCAUUUUACAGGAGAGGAAAUCCAGCUUCCAUUGAUUUUAGGAAAAGGCCCUAAAACUGGAGGUUUGGCAUGUUUCAAGAAUGGAAACAGAGGACAAAAACGUUCGAUACAGGAGACCUGCUCUGGAAGAUGCUGGUCAGGCAGUGGAUAGUCAAGUCCCAGAUCAUCCCAGGAAUCAUUUUACACUUGACAAUAACUCUUUGAUAUCCACAGAAUUGGCCCAUGAGGUUGGGUGACUCAGAGGAGGUCAAGAAGUAAGCUGUCC